GUCCGUUUCCACGAGAAAGGCCGGGGCCUCGCUCGCUCAAAGCCUCUUCUGUUCUGUUCCAGUGUUCUGUCUGCGCCCGCCGCUCGCCUCCGCCUUUCCACGACCCCAACGUCUUUCUCCUCGCCCCUGCUCUCAUCCUAGGACGCCGCGCACGCCGGGAGCCCGGGAGGGGAGGUUCGACCACGACCGCCGCCACGAGCUCGCGGAGGACCAUGCCGAGAUCCAGGGGGUCCGAGCCGCCGCAGCGGGCGUCGCCGCGCGCGCCGCUGCACCUCAAGACGACGGCCUGCUCCGAGGCGAACGGCGCGCACCACCGCCCUGCCGUCGACCGGGCCAGCCCCAAGGUCGGGGACCGCCACUCGCCGCGCAGCCCUCUGCCCGAGAAGAAGCGCGCGGCGGGGACGCGGGUGGCGGAGCUGGAGGCGAAGCUGGGGAAGGUGCAGGACGAGCUCAAGAAGCUGCGGGAGCAGCUCGCGUCCGCCGAGGCCGCCAAGAAGGACGCGCAGGUCGCGCUCGAGGAGGCCAAGAAGCGCGUCGGCACCAAGGGGAACUCCGCCUCCGCGGCGACAUCAACUCUCUCUGCCCCCUCGGCGGGGGUCGAGACCGCGAAGAAGACGGAGGAGCUGAAGGCGCCUCCACCGGCGGCCGAAGACGAAGAAAGCAGCAUAAACUCGCCGGCCACCGACGUGUUUGAGGUUGUCCCGGCCGAGUCGGGGGACAAGGAGAACCAGAGCGCGGCGGCCGCCGCAGAUGAAUGCGAGGCUGUGAGUUGCGGCGAGAAGGCGGCGCUGGCGGAGAAGGAGGAGGUGGUGGAGGAGGAGGAGACCAAGAAAAUGAUCGAGGAGGAGAACAAAAAUGCAGCUGCGGAAACCGACGCCGCGGAGAAGGAGAGCCCGGAGGUCGCGGAGCUGAAGGCCAAGCUGGCGGAGAAGGACACGGAGAUCGCCGCCCUCACGGCGGAGAACGCGGAGCUCAAGAAGCAGGCCUGGGAGGCCGCCGAGGCGGCGCAGAAGGCCGCGGAGGACGCGGCGGCGAAGGCGUUCCAGGCCGAGCACGAUCUGAAGGAGGGCGCGGCGCGGGAGGCCCGGAUGUGCGAGCAGCUGCGGGCGUCGGAGGCCGCGCGGGAGGCGCUGGACGGCGAGAUGCGGCGCCUGCGCGUGCAGACCGAGCAGUGGCGCAAGGCCGCCGAGGCCGCGGCCGCGGUGCUCGGCGGGGACAACCACCUCACCGGGCUGGCCGGCAACGGCAACGGGUGGGGCUCCCCCGCCACGAUGCCCGAUGACGGCGACGACGAGGGGUUCGGGGGCAAGCGCAAGGGCGCCGGCAUCCGGAUGCUCGGCGACCUCUGGAAGAAGAAGGGGAGCAGCAAGUGAAAAUGCCUGCCGGGGAAACGUGGGAUCGGUUUCACGAACUCGGCAACGGUGAGCUCGCUCAGCCCGCCAGCCUGAACUCCAUGCCUUCCUCGCACUAGCUUAGCGCCAUCGUUUUACCGCGUUUUGGUUCGGAUUCUGCUUGUGUUUGUAUGAUGAUGAUGAUGAGAUGAUGCUCGAUCGUGAGACUGAACUACGGUCUGUAACGCUGCAUUGCUGCUGCUACCUCACUGUAAGGAGCAACCAAGAUGGUUUGGUGUUUCCCUGCACUGCCGUGCCGCUGAUGAUAGAGCAGGUAUCAUUGCUACGCGCAGUAGUCUUGAGAAAAUUUCGGUUGGAUCCGAACGAGGUCCAUCAUAAUACCUGCUGAUUGCGUGGUGGUCGCUCAUGAUGCUACGGGGAUAUGAUUGCAUCCGAUGAGAGGAUUGUUGGGACGCAGCCAGAGAGAUUCGAGCCGCAAUGCAGCAGCAUCUCGGUGAUGUACAUAGGACCGCCUGAUAACUGGCGUUCAAAAUAUCUCUUGCUAAAUAAAUCUUCGUUGUGUCGCUG